rnacentral:tmRNA from 1 species
GGGGCUGAUUCUGGAUUCGACGGGAUUCGCGAAACCCAAGGUGCAUGCCGAGGGGCGGUUGGCCUCGUUAAAAGCCGCAAAAUAAUAGUCGCAAACGACGAAAACUACGCACUAGCAGCUUAA